rnacentral:rRNA from 1 species
GACUAUGGCCACACCGCCCUGAGCGCACCCGAUCCUGUCUAACCUCGGAAGCUAAGUAGGGUCUGGCCCGGUUAGGAUCUUGGAGGGAGAUUAGGGAUAUCGCUAUGUUGUCCAGGCU